CCGUCCAUGUUCUCGCCACAGCCGCCGCCCUCCGUCAAAAUCGCCGCCGCCGUCCUUGCCAAAACCGCAACUGUUGAAUAUCUACAAAUUAACCGUUUGCAACCAAAAGAAUCGAUGAUGCUGAAUAAGAUGGGCAAAAAGCAGGCUAAUUGAAGAGAAUCAACUCUAUAGUCAUAUUGUAGUCAUAUUGUAGUCAUAUUGUAGUUAUAUGUAGUCGUGCAUAGUCAUAUAUACGACAUAUAUGUUUUUUUUCUAAUGUACAAUGAUGUAGAUGGUUGUUUAUGGUUGAAGAAUUCAUACACGCAAUUUUUUGAUGUAUUUGUGUCGCUACAGGUGGAUUUGUAAUAACAAGGUUCAAAUUGUAUUUUUUUGUGUGGAUGUUGAUUGGAUUGUUUUCGUAAAUAAUGGGCAAUCUUCGUGUUUUUA